UGGGGAAUCUUCCGCAAUGGACGAAAGUCUGACGGAGCAACGCCGCGUGAGUGAUGACGGCCUUCGGGUUGUAAAGCUCUGUUAAUCGGGACGAAAGGCCUUCUUGCGAAUAGUGAGAAGGAUUGACGGUACCGGAAUAGAAAGCCACGGCUAACUACGUGCCAGCAGCCGCGGUAAUACGUAGGUGGCAAGCGUUGUCCGGAAUUAUUGGGCGUAAAGCGCGCGCAGGCGGAUAGGUCAGUCUGUCUUAAAAGUUCGGGGCUUAACCCCGUGAUGGGAUGGAAACUGCCAAUCUAGAGUAUCGGAGAGGAAAGUGGAAUUCCUAGUGUAGCGGUGAAAUGCGUAGAUAUUAGGAAGAACACCAGUGGCGAAGGCGACUUUCUGGACGAAAACUGACGCUGAGGCGCGAAAGCCAGGGGAGCGAACG
rnacentral:rRNA from 1 species